rnacentral:rRNA from 1 species
GACGAACGCUGGCGGCGUGCUUAACACAUGCAAGUCGAGCGAUGAAUUUUCUUCGGAAAUGGAUUAGCGGCGAACGGGUGAGGAACACGUGAAGAAUCUGCCCUCCACUUUGGGAUAACACAGGGAAACCUGUGCUAAUACCGAAUAUUGAAACAUAAGUGGCAUCACUGAGUUUUGAAAGAAUUUCGGUGGAGGAUGACUUCGCGGCCUAUCAGCUAGUUGGUGAGGUAAUGGCUCACCAAGGCAACGACGGGUAGCCGGCCUGAGUGGGCGACCGGCCAAACUGGGACUGAGACAGGGCCCAGACUCCUACGGGAGGCAGCAGUGGGGAAUAUUGGGCAAUGGAGGAAACUCUGACCCAGCGACGCCGCGUGCGGGAUGAAGGCCUUCGGGUUGUAAACCGCUUUCAGUAGGGAAGAAGCGAAAGUGACGGUACCUGCAGAAAAAGCACCGGCUAACUACGUGCCAGCAGCAGCCGCCG